CAGCUGCGCAGCAGCAUGAGCGUGACUACAGAUCAGGCCGCACCGUUUAAAAUGGAUACAUGGGUCUUCUGGCUAACUUCCUGUCUUUGGUAGGGUGAUCAUAUGCUUUAUCAUCCAAAUCCAGACACUUAAGAGAGUGAAAGGGGCACUAUAAUAAUUGCACGAGGACAGCAGACAUAACUUUAGCUGUACCUUGCAAACCAGAACAUAUGGUCACCCUACCCUCCGGUCACUUUUUCUUCUUUGUUUCCAUUCUUUUAAUUUUUUUCCCUUUUAAACACACAGCAUUAUCUUUCCCUGAGCACCAUUGUCUUUGCAAAUGCUCUUGCAAUCGGGAUAUUUUUGACCUGGCAACAUGCAUAUUCAGUCUGAACAGUCUCUCUGAACCUACCCCAAAACCUGGUUUUAGCUUCCAGGCAGAAGACUCUGUUCCCUGGCUUGCAACCCCCAUGACUCAAGAAUGAAAGAUGUCAGAAGAUGUCACAGGACACUGUUCAAGGUGCCAUCUUGGAAGCAGGAGCAGCCCUUGCGAGACUACAAGCCUGCUGGCCCCUUGAUCUUGGACUUCUCAGACACCAAAACUGUGAGAAACACAUUUUUUUUCUUUACCCGUUACCCAGUCUCAGAUAUUUUGUUAUAACACCACAAAUGGACUAAGACAGUAUCUUACAUACAGUGAGGUGCAUAUACCUAAAGUUACAACUUUGUACUAUCGUUUUUUGGUU
rnacentral:lncRNA from 1 species